GAUGAACGCUGGCGGCGUGCCUAAUUCAUGCAAGUCGAGCGAACAGACGAGGAGCUUGCUCCUCUGACGUUAGCGGCGGACGGGUGAGUAACACGUGGAUAACCUACCUAUAAGACUGGGAUAACUUCGGGAAACCGGAGCUAAUACCGGAUAAUAUAUUGAACCGCAUGGUUCAAUAGUGAAAGACGGUUUUGCUGUCACUUAUAGAUGGAUCCGCGCCGCAUUAGCUAGUUGGUAAGGUAACGGCUUACCAAGGCAACGAUGCUUAGCCGACCUGGAAGGGGGGUAGGCCACAGUGGAAGCGAAACACGGUCCAGAGGCCUAAGGGAGGCAGCAGUAGGGUAUCUUCCGCAAUGGGCGAAAGCAUGACGGAGCAACGCCGAGGGAGUGACGAAGGUCUUGGGAUCGGAAAAACCUGUUAUUAGGGAAGAACAAAUGUGUAAGUAAAUGUGCACAUCUUGACGGUACCUAAUCAGAAAGCCACGGCUAAGUAGGUG
rnacentral:rRNA from 1 species